rnacentral:lncRNA from 1 species
GCUGAGAUACUUUACACAUCGUUCUAGGAAACAUCAUGCAUGAUGUGAAUGUGUCAGGAUUUCCUACAACGAACACAAGGCAAUCAGCAGAAAAGCUGGAAUAUCUACAAAACAAGAUUGAAGCAAUAUGCUGAUGAAGAGGAAAUUUCCUGUGAUGCCUCUAAACUCUGAGUCGGUGUCAUUGGAGACAGCCUUGUAACAAACAACUUGGAUCUCCAGUAAAAUCACGACUUUUAGAGAUUUUUUUAAAACAAGCUGAAACAAGUAGUGAAUAUCUUAUAUGCAAUUGAGCCGAAGCUGUCGGAGCAGGUUAGGCUGUCUGACCAGUGCUGGUGGGAACUCCAGGAGCUGUAAGCAGGUGGAUGAAAAGCAGGCCUGGAGCAGGAAGAUUUAUCAGUGUCCCUAUUUGCCACCUCACUUAACUCAAAAUUACCUGAGGAUUGUGACAAUAGUUACAAAAGGAUAG